rnacentral:rRNA from 1 species
UACGUAGGGUGCAAGCGUUGUCCGGAAUUAUUGGGCGUAAAGAGCUCGUAGGCGGUCUGUCGCGUCGGCUGUGAAAACUCGGGGCUCAACUCCGAGCUUGCAGUCGAUACGGGCAGGCUAGAGUUCGGCAGGGGAGACUGGAAUUCCUGGUGUAGCGGUGAAAUGCGCAGAUAUCAGGAGGAACACCGGUGGCGAAGGCGGUUCUCUGGGCCUUACCUGACGCUGAGGAGCGAAAGCGUGGGGAGCAAACAGG